GGGUGACCACCUGUCCCGGUUUGCCUGGGACUGAGGAGUUUCCCAAGACAUGGGAUUUUGAGUGCU
rnacentral:miRNA from 1 species